rnacentral:rRNA from 1 species
GAUGAACGCUAGCUACAGGCUUAACACAUGCAAGUCGAGGGGUAGCAGGGUAGCAAUACCGCUGACGACCGGCGCACGGGUGAGUAACACGUAUCCAACCUUCCCAUUACUCGGGGAUAGCCUUUCGAAAGAAAGAUUAAUACCCGAUAGUACUUUUUCGAGGCAUCUCGUAAAAAGUUAAAGAUUUAUUGGUAAUGGAUGGGGAUGCGUUCCAUUAGAUUGUUGGUGAGGUAACGGCUCACCAAGUCUUCGAUGGAUAGGGGUUCUGAGAGGAAGGUCCCCCACAUUGGUACUGAGACACGGACCAAACUCCUACGGGAGGCAGCAGUGAGGAAUAUUGGUCAAUGGGCGAGAGCCUGAACCAGCCAAGUAGCGUGAAGGAUGAAGGUCCUAUGGAUUGUAAACUUCUUUUAUAGUAGAAUAAAGUGAGCCACGUGUGGUUUUUUGUAUGUACACUAUGAAUAAGGAUCGGCUAACUCCGUGCCAGCCGCCGCGGUAA